AUUUUUUUGAGCCUCUUUCUAUUUUCUGAAAGUCUUGGUUAGUCAUGAAAACAUGAACAAGUCACAUGUGAAGAAACAAAGAUUUUGCAAACUGUGUCUGUCAACAACUUGCAAUGAAGAGCAGAUGCGGCGGAAGCAGUUGUUACUGAAGACAGUCCUGGGCUCAGCAGCUGAGGCGGACACGCUUCCAGGGAGCUGGCCCCGCCCACUCUCACCUCUUCGGGCAGCGGAGAAGGUGGCUCGUACACAGCUCUCACACGCCUUGCUGUUUGGAGCUCAGACAUCUCUCUCCAUCAUGGUUUCCCA